GGUGCUCCCGCUCCUUCUCUGAAAGAGGAAAAAAACACCGCUGCCCGCUAUUGGAAUUUCUGGUUUGGAAAGCUACAAUGUGAAGAUCCAAAAUGUCUGGGGCCAGGAAAGCUUUUAAAAAGAACAACUUCCUGAGGGAUUAAGAGAUAACAUAAUGUGGAGCUGGAUGAACACAGCAGGCCAAGCAGCAUCAGAGGAGCAGGAAAGCUGAAGUUUCGGGCCGAGACCUUUCUUCAAAAAUGGGGGAGGGGGAGGACGUUCUGAAAUAAAUAGGGAAGCGGGGGAGAUAGACAGAAGAUGGAUAGAGGAGAAGAUCGGUGGAGAGGAGACAGACUGGUCAAAGAAGAGGGGAUGGACCCAGUAAAGUGAUUCGUAGAUCCAAAGGGGAAGCGUUUUGGGCCCACAAAACAUUGAACAAGGGCUUUCUCCAAAGCGGGAACAUCAUCCUGAGGCUUAUUGGGCAGGCUGUGCCCCAGGGUUUGAAGCUUGGGGUUAAAUUAAUCGGGGCCUUGGAAUUUGACACAAACAUGGCUCCCCAAGGAGGAAAUUAAAACUGUAAAUGUGAAACCUCACAAAAAAAUUGUUCUGAUGUCAGGGUAAUAAUGUGUGAAUGUGAAGUCGACAUUGUGAGUGAGAGACAGGCUUGCAACAGGGAGAAGGGCACGAGAGAAGAGAGAGGGAGGGAGAGGCAUUUGAGAUUCCUAAGUA